CCCCACUCAUCUGUCACCUGCGCAGAAAACAGGACAGCCGAUAUCGAGUUGUGGUAAGGGUGGAUGGACCUCGGAAGACACGGCGAUCGAUAAAGCACAAGGUCGAUGCGCGUGGCCUGAUGGGCGGUGGGGACACCGACAGCCAGAUGUCAUGUUUCCACUGGAGAGCCA